rnacentral:rRNA from 1 species
GACGAACGCUUUCUUCUUUCUUAACACAUGCAAGUCGAACGGAAAGGCCCUGCUUUUGUGGGGUGCUCGAGUGGCGAACGGGUGAGUAACACGUGAGUAACCUGCCCUUGACUUUGGGAUAACUUCAGGAAACUGGGGCUAAUACCGGAUAGGAGCUCCUGCUGCAUGGUGGGGGUUGGAAAGUUUCGGCGGUUGGGGAUGGACUCGCGGCUUAUCAGCUUGUUGGUGGGGUAGUGGCUUACCAAGGCUUUGACGGGUAGCCGGCCUGAGAGGGUGACCGGCCACAUUGGGACUGAGAUACGGCCCAGACUCCUACGGGAGGCAGCAGUGGGGAAUAUUGCACAAUGGGCGGAAGCCUGAUGCAGCAACGCCGCGUGCGGGAUGACGGCCUUCGGGUUGUAAACCGCUUUCGCCUGUGACGAAGCGUGAGUGACGGUAAUGGGGAAAGAAGCACCGGCUAACUACGU